UACGGAGGGUGCAAGCGUUAAUCGGAAUUACUGGGCGUAAAGCGUGUGUAGGUGGUUUGUUAAGUCCGUUGUGAAAGCCCCGAGCUCAACUUGGGAAUUGCAGUGGAUACUGGCAAGCUGGAGUGCGGUAGAGGAAGGUGGAAUUCCCGGUGUAGCGGUGAAAUGCGUAGAGAUCGGGAGGAACACCAGUGGCGAAGGCGGCCUUCUGGACCAGCACUGACACUCAAGCCCGAAAGCGUGGGGAGCAAACAGG
rnacentral:rRNA from 1 species